GCUGCUGGGUUUGAUAUAGACAACCUGAUAUAUUUGAUCUCGUUCGCAGAGCGUUUUGGUGCUUCACGCUUGAUGAAGGCAUGCACACAGUUCAUUGAUUUGUGGAGGCAAAAACAUGAGACUGGACAGUGGAUUGACGUUGAACCCGAAACAAUAAUGUCUACACGCUCUGAAUUUCCCCCCUUCAAUGCUUCUGGGAUUAUGUUUAUGGGAGAUAAGGAAACAAUGUCUGUCUCUAAUGGAGAUACAAAUGGCGAAGAUGCUGCUAAAGCUGAUCACAGGGCACCUCACCACCCAGGAGCUCCCCAUGAGUACCAUCAUGGUCCAUAUCAAUCAGGAUAUCCACCAUGGGCA